rnacentral:lncRNA from 1 species
GAAAAACACAAACUAAGGAACUGCGCCUGCGUAGUCAGAGCCUCAAAGGGUAUAAGCUCCAGGUCGCGAGCCCCCGCCUCCUCCGCCCCCAUGAACCCCCUUCCCACAAGGGGGUUCCCACUGCGCACGCGCAGUGUUUAACGGCCGGUCAGGAACCCAACAAUUAGUCCCUUCUCGUCCGAGAGGAAACUCUGUGAGAAGAUGGGGCCGUGAGCACUCUCUUUAACAAGGACAUUUCCUUUUCAGCGAAAGCACCGCUCUGAUUUACCAAGUCUGGCGGACCGCACCGCUUUAAAGGAAUGAGGUUCCAGCGGUCGCGCCAAGCAGCGUACGCAGCCUAUUUUAAGUUAUGCUACCUUCGCCACAGAAACCAAGAACGUUGUAAUGGUCCGGCAAGUGCCCACGUGUAAUUGUUCUCCAUCACUUACCCACUCUAGCUCGGGAACACCCUUGUCGCCGCCGUUCCGGUAACACCUCUCCAACGCUUUCGAUGCUUCUACUUCUUCGGGAACAAGACAAGAUGGCGCCCGAUUUGUCUCACCCGGAAGUAAAGAAUAAUAACAUCCGUUUGUCAUCUGAAGCCAUACCAUCUCUCAUCCAGGGAACCGUGGCGGGGAAGUCUGGUUUCCGUCCUGCUGCUUUCCUUCAACUACAAGAUGGCUUCUCAAAAGGACGCAUGCAAUGCCAUUCCUCAAAGACAAAUGUUUAUUGCAGAUACAGUUCCACCACUGUACAUUAAGUAUGUGGAAAACAGAAGAUAUCCUUUUGGUUCCUGGGUCUCCAGAACAGUAGGAGCAAACAUCCAAAUCUGAUAUAGCACUUCCAGAGAGCCUGGUCUUG